CACGCCGUAAACGAUGAGAACUAGAUGUUGGGGGAAAUUGUCCUUCGGUGUCGCAGCUAACGCGUUAAGUUCUCCGCCUGGGGAGUACGCCGGCAACGGUAAAACUCAAAGGAAUUGACGGGGACCCGCACAAGCGGUGGAGCAUGUGGUUUAAUUCGAUGCAACGCGAAGAACCUUACCUGCCCUUGACAUUGACAGAAUCCUUUAGAGAUAGAGGAGUGCUUCGGCCUGGAAAACAG
rnacentral:rRNA from 1 species